CUGUUGUGAAAAUAUCUCCUCACAGUACUGUUGCCUCACAGCAAGAAGUUUGUAUCCAAGUUUGUAGUUUGAAUCCACCAACUGGCCCCGGCUUUUCUUUGUGGCGUUUGCAUGUUCUCUCAGAGUACUUUGAGUUCCUCCCACAGUUCAAAGACAUCCAGUUAGUGAUGUUAGGUUAACUGGUGAUUCUAAAUUGCCCAUCAGCGUGAACGUGAAUGGUUGAACGUGAAAAAAUAAAACAAUAAUCUCUUGGAUUUUCAAUAUUUCCUUCUGCUAGAAUCCCUAAAGAUGAACAGCAGUCAGAGUUAUUUGUCCUACAGCAUUAACACUACCCCUCUAAAUGCACUUGAAAUGAGAGGAGUAAGAACACAGAAUUAAUUUGACUGCAAUCUGCUAUCUACUGACAUCUAGUGCUCCUCCUCAGAUACACAUAAAGCUGACAGUAAAGUUCAGGUCUGUUUCUCUCUCUCUUUGAUGAUCAUGAUGUUCACGAUAAAUCAAGCAGCACUGCUCUUCGUUCAGCUGUUAGUGGUGUGGCAUGUCUUUGCAGAGAUCGCUAAAGACGACCACAGAGCUGUGCUGGUGUCCAGAGGAGACUCAGUGACACUGACUUGCAACAUAUCCAAGACAAAUGCAACACUGAUCACCUGGACCAACAACAGAUCUGUUUUUCAAUAUUCCAUUGUGCUGAAUCGCACCUAUUCAAAUUUCUCAUUUCAUAGACUGCAUUAAAAAAUUUUUAUCACGUUAAUUGUGAUGACGGUGUUAAUGCGUGUUAACGCUGACAGCCCUAAUAUAAGUAUGAAACAAAAAUAAAGUUCUGUGUUAUUUUUUGAUUAGAUGCUGGACCAGGACCCUGAACCAGGACCUGCAUGACAUCAGGACUUUGAGUUUUGUCCAGUAUCAUGUUCAGCUGAGAGGAAAGGUGAUCCCUCCACAACCUCAAAGUUUUGCAGUAUAAAGGCCAGGCAGCACAUUCAGAAACUCAUUUUUAUCUGGGGCUUCUAGUGUGCUGCCAAGAAGACAGUCGAGAUAAAAGAUGAAUAGGAAACAAGGUACAGACUGGAAGGAGAGCUCAAGUGAAAGAUCACAUUGUUUUCUGUUUUCUUGGAAACGUACUUUACUUUUUUAUCUGUACGUGUACAAUUUUGUGUAAAAAUAUUAAUUUUGACUGUUUUUUAUAUUUUGCUUGUUUCUUCUGUUUCUACAUUUACAUUACAUUAUUACAUUAUUUUCGUCAUAAAUGUAUUAAGUUAGGCCUUUUGCACCUGAUUAUUUUCAUAAAGCUGAAGUUGGAUAUAUGUAAAUUUUUUAAUAAGCAUAAUAAGCAUCCAGCAUAAAACUAAACUCAUUCAGAUUAUGUCUGUUGUACAAAUAUCUCCAGGUAACUUGUUGGUGAUUUUCAAACAGAUCUGGACUGACAUUUGUGCUGCUACAACUUUCAUUUUCUGUAUCUGCAAAUAAUAUCUGAACAUUUGACUUUUUGGUUAUUUAUCUGACACUGUUGUCUCACAGCAAGAAGGUCCUGGGUUUGAAUCCACCAUCGAGCUGGGACUUCUCUGUGUAGAGUUUGCAUGUACUCUCCGAGUACUCUGACUUCCUCCCAUAAUUCAAAGACAUGUCGUUAGUCACGUUACGUUAAUUGGUAAUUCUAAAUUCCCCUUCAGUGUGUCUUCAGGCUCCAGACAUGUGUCAUGCUUUUUGCACCCUUCAUUUGAACUUAACUACUUUUGUUUUGAAUAUGGCUGCUGAGAAUUUAGCCAACAAUAAAAGUGAAAAACAUGAUUCUGGAAGUUGUGUCCAAAAUGUUCAUGAUACUGAAUGUGAAAUUCAAUGUCCACUUUGAAGACAUUUCAUUCAAAUUGCUAUUUUAACAGCUAGCUGCUCACUGAGCAAGACGUUUUGUACUACUUAGUGAAUUUAGUCUUGUUCUUGGUUUUGUAGCGUAACUAGGCCAAGAACAAGAGUAUGUGGAUCUAUAGAUCCACAUAUGUUGUCACGGUAAUAUUUAGAGUUUGUUAAGAUUCACUAGUUCUCAUAUUAUAAUGGACCUGAAAGACUUGAAUAGAACUAAGAUGUCAUAUGUUUCCAUACAUAUCAACCAUAAUUCAUAUCCCCAAUUUGGUAAAUAAUGAAAUAGAGCAACAAACAAUAUAAACAUGAAGCACAAUAAUCAAAGUUGUGCUACAAAUUGAGCAACUCAAAAAAAUUAUUGCCAGUCACAAUUUUUUUAUAGAUGGGAAUGUCAAUAUGAGAGUAUACAACAUGUUGCACAACUGUAAAGUGUCAGCUAACAAUCUGAAUGUGGUGGGUAAAGCGUGCAGAUGUGGUUUUACUUCAGCUGAUAACUUUUCCUUCAUUCUGGUGCAUCUUAUAUUUAUGACAUGAGUGACUAAAUUACAAGAAGAAAUUA